AACGAACGCUGGCGGCAGGCCUAACACAUGCAAGUCGAGCGAGGACUUCGGUUCUAGCGGCGGACGGGUGAGUAACGCGUGGGAACGUGCCCUUUGCUACGGAAUAGCCCCGGGAAACUGGGAGUAAUACCGUAUGUGCCCGAGAGGGGAAAGAUUUAUCGGCAAAGGAUCGGCCCGCGUUGGAUUAGGUAGUUGGUGGGGUAAUGGCCUACCAAGCCGACGAUCCAUAGCUGGUUUGAGAGGAUGAUCAGCCACACUGGGACUGAGACACGGCCCAGACUCCUGCGGGAGGCAGCAGUGGGGAAUCUUAGACAAUGGGGGAAACCCUGAUCUAGCCAUGCCGCGUGAGCGAUGAAGGCCUUAGGGUUGUAAAGCUCUUUCAGUGGGGAAGAUAAUGACGGUACCCACAGAAGAAGCCCCGGCUAACUCCGUGCCAGCCGCCGCGGUAACAC
rnacentral:rRNA from 1 species